CGGUGUUUCUUCCAGAUCAGCCUCCUUCUCAUUCCAUCGCUACGUGCCCAGAGCUUCAAAUACAGUCCUCCCAUCACAGUCAGACUGCCACAAAACUUCAAUCAGCUGCUUCUCCGCCUGCAAGAGAGCCUGGAAGGGGGUGUUUGCAUAGCUUUAUCUGUGACUCCCUCCCUGUAGCUUUCUGGGAAAUUCUACAUCUUGCUUCCGCCAGUAGACAUUUUGGAAUGGGUUAUUCACGUGAAAUGAUGAGGAAAAGGUGGCUGGUAACUGGAGCUUGGGCUAUGAUGCUCAUCUCAAGGCUAAGAAUAUUUUCAGGAAAAGUGGGAGGAAGCUGGAAGUCGGGGGCAGAAGAAGUUGUGGAGCCAAAUGCACCUGGCCUGGAACCCAAUUCUGCUGCCUGUUUCCCGUGUGUUUCCAGGCAGAGAUGUGGCCCCUCUGGGCUCAGCCUCAUCUGUCUCUUGGCCCCAUGGUGACCUCAUAACCUUUGGAUCAGCAUCAUCUGCCAGGGAGCUUCAUCUCUAGAAACUAGCUUAUUGCCUAUCUCCUACGGGUAUCUGUUCAGAAAGCAGCAACCCAGUAAAGGUGGCCCUCACUGGCUCAUCUUUACUCUUCUUCAGCAUUGCACAUACCCUCGCUUUUCAUAAGUGUUUAUUUCCUUAGGGUGUUAGUUCCAGGGCUGCGCUGUGUGACUGUUAUGAUCUCUGUCUCAUGGAAAGUGUCUGGCACACAGUAGGUGCUCAGUAAACACACAUGAAUCCAAUGGUAAUGCCCUGGGCCUGUAGGGAGGGAAGUGGAGGCUUGAGCAUCCCGGGAGAAGGAAAUGAUGACGGUUGGUUGAGAUACCAACACGGAUGGGGGCAGGGUUGGGAGGUCUGCCUGAAGAAGGGGUCUUAGAGAGGAUCAGGAAGGCUUCAGAGGUACUGGGGCAGUGCGGGGCUUAUCUAGUGGCAAGGAAGAAAGACCAGAGGCGACCUUGCCAAUGAAUCUCAGAUCACAGAGGUGGUGACUGCUGGGGUGACGGGGAUGGAUGUGGCUGAGGGGUGGUCCCUGAGGGUCAGGCCCCAGAGUUAAUGCCUCCUAGCAGUGAGACCCUGGGAAGGUGACAGCUUCCCACCUUGUCUGAAAAGUGGGGCAGUGUCACCUGCCUCGAGGUACUUGUUCUGAUAAUUAAAUAAAAGAGCGAGAACGCGGACUUGCAGUCCUCCCAUGGUAAGCCCUGAAUAAAUAUUAGCUGCGUGUUAAGCUCCCGUCGGCAGCGUGUGCUUUGAAUAAAACACAAAAGUAGGAAAGACGUGGUCCCCACUCAGGACUCACAUAGCCAAGCGUCACUCAGCAUAGUGUGGGUGACAGGAUGGUGGGUGAGGGGAGGAGGAGGGAGGCUUGGCAUCAGAAAGGGGCUUUGAGGAACUGGUAACCAUGAGCCAAAUGAUGGCGUAAGAAGCCAAAGGGGCCCCUGGAAAUGAUUUUUAGGCAGAGGGCCUCGAGGUGAAGUGAUUUGGGACAGAAAACCAAAGCCGGCGGAGCACAUCAGUACAUGAGGCAGUGGGUGUCUGCCUCCUGGACAGACCUUCCCAGAGGCGGAUGCUAAGCAAUCGACCACACAGCCGGCAGCUGUGAUCACAGAGAGUGGGUGGAAGCUACAGAUCAUUCCCCAGUGUGCCAGGAGGGACCAGGGCCAGGGGGAGGGGAGGACAGGCCAGGGAGGCCAUGGAUGUAGCCUGGUGUCCACUGGGUGCUAAGCUCAAGGAGGAACAAGGGGGCACGUGGAGGAACAAGACUAAAUGUUGAGGUCCGUGGGGCAGGAUGGAUGACAGGGAACGGUGGUGAGAGCUUCCUGGAGAAGGUGUCCUUUUACCCUACUUCCAGAUGAGUGGAAAAUACACACGCUGGUCCUGUCAUUUGGAAGCCCGCUUCCCCCACUUGCAGUCUCAAAGGGCAUAGAUCAUCUGUGGGCUGAUGGGUUCUGAGUCUGGCAGAGAUGGAACUCUGGGCCUUGGGAACAGGGAAGGAGGUACAGAAAUGCUGAGAUGUAGGGCCAGAGAGAGCAGUAGGCUGUUCUAUCCAGAUGGCCCUAGGGCUUGAAGGCUUGAGAAAUCCUGGCUUCCUUCUCACUCCUCAGUCAUCAGAGGCUGGGACAUGGGCUCUUUGGUAGUCUCUCUUUACUGUCAGAGGGACAUGAGCAUGUCUGUGAAAGCCUUCCCAAGAGGACCAACUGAGCAGAAGGGACUGGCCAUGAAUGUAGCCAGCAUCAGGCCACGGGCUGAGAGCCUGGACAGAGUGAAAAAGGAAGCUGAGAAAGCUGAUGGAGGGCUGGCCUCCUUCUUUCCCUAUUUCCUGGUCUGUGUCAUGUGAACCAGCAGCAGGCCUCACUUCAGAUGGCCACAGGGGAGAGGCCCCUGCCUCUCCCUCCAUGAAGGAUUGAAACUGUGAGCAAACAAACCUUUCUCCCCUUCUGCUGUUUCUGCAAGGUAAUUUGAACACAGCGAGGAGAGAACAAUGAAUGCAGACUUCUCAGUGGGGACAUUCAUGGCUCCUCCCUGCUAUGCACUAGGCUCUUUCUGAGGGCUGAUCCCAGCUAUGUAGCUGACCCAGCUUUUCAGACAUGUGACCAAGAUCACUGAGGGUUUUGGAGUACCUGUGAGGCGUGGCCUAGCCAGGUCCCUGAUGUACUGGUCCUAGAAGAAAUAAAUGGAGGUGGAUGGACAGUGAGUCAGUCUGCUGCUUUCCCCAAACAGCCCUCUCUGCUGUGACCUCAGGCCUCAGACCAGGAGAGGCCUGAGACAGAGCUAGGUCCACCCAGGCUCUUAGGUGCUGAAUCCUUGUUUAUGAUACCAUUAUACCCCCUUUCCAUUAUUUGUUUCUUUUUAAACAGGAUCUCAUGUCGCCCCAAAGUUGCUAUACAGCCAUGAAUAACCUCCAAAUUCUCUCUCUCUCUCUCUCUUUUUCUUUCUCUUCCUCUCGGGCUUACUUUUAUUUCAUGUGCUUUGCCUGCAUGUAUGUCUGUGCACCCCAUGGGUGAAAAGUCCAGAAAAAGGCUUGGGUCUCUUGGAACUGGAGUUACAGACAGUUGUGAGCUGUCAUGUGGGUGCUGGGAUCCAAACCCAGGUCCUUUGGAAGACCAGGGCUCUUAACCACUGAGCUCCUCUUCAGCCCCUGAACCUUGAAUUUCUGAUUUUCCUGCCCUCACCUCCCAAGGGCUGGGGUUACAGGCAUGCACCACCACACCCGGGGCUUCAUGCAAACCAGGCAAGCACUCUGCCUGAGAGACAUCUUCAUCCCUGGCCUUUGCAUCUUUCAGGAUUUGAACAGAAGAGACCUCCUUAGAUACAGCAUUGAUUUGAAAAGUGUCAGGCAGGGGGAGGCGCAGAAAGGUGGGCCACAGAAAAUUCUUAACAGCACCCUUGCUGAGCUUCUCUCACUGUAGGACUCCCUAUUUGGGGAUCAUCUAUUGUGCCCUGGGCAUGUUCUUCUAGCCUGCUAUAAAGACCUGGGUGGCAACUGAGGCUCGGUGGGGGCGGGGGAGAGGUAACCAUGCCAAGCCGAAUAGCCAGCAAAUGUUAGAGCUGUAGUCUGCUCACUGCUCACUCCCUGUCCGAAAGUGUCGGCCGGUGCACAGACUGACUUCAAGAGUGUGGAGCGGCUGUGCAAGCCACUCAGCCCUGUGGAGGGCAGAGUGAUGAGGGGUGUCGACUGAGCCCCUGACUUCCUCCCUGGGUUGGGUUCUGGUGCUUAGCCAAGGCUUUGCCCUGCUCUACAGAGAUUCUACAAACCCUGAGAGGCCAUGGUGACUGGGUGGUGACCAGAACACGGGGUCUGAGCUUCAGAGGCUUGUGGGAAGGUGCUUCUCAUUCUCAGAGCCCCACUUUCUUCAUCAGGGCAACUGUUUGGUUCAGCAAGGGUUAAUUAUAGCCCGGGGACCAUGGGGUCGAGAGGAUGCUCCAGGGAGGAUGGAGACCUCAGUGUUUCCCCCCACUGCACUUGAGCUAUAGCUGUGGAUUCUGAUCCCAUGCUGUCACCGGCAGACUACUCUUCUCAGCAGGCAGAGGGCACACUCCUCUCCCUCUCUGACAGGCUUGCCAGUUUUCUGUGCCUUCUACAGCCCCCUUAGUCCUUACGUGUGACCACACAGGCAGACAACCGGGGAACAGCCACUAACCGGCUCAAGCCUGCAGGCAGGUCCCCUUCCAGCCUUCUUGUCAUCUCCUCUCUACGGUCAUCUCUCUCUCUCUCUCUCUCUCGUGCCCCUGUCGACAGCUUUGUUUCCACACGUGCACAUUCACAAAACACACAUCAGAGCCACAGCCAUGGAGCCAGCGUCACAGACCCACACACACAUGUCUGCGAGGACCAUAGGGGGCACUGGGACUUCGUCUCUCUUUCCCCAUUCAAACAGCCACCCUAGUGGGACCCUCUCCAGGGUUGCGGCAUACUCAGGCCCAACAUCCUUCCAGCCUCUUACUUUCUUGAGACAGGGUUUCUCUCUGCAGGAAUGGCUAUCCUGAAACUAACUCUGUAGAACAGGCUGGCCUCAAACUCAGAGAUCCACCUGCCUCUGCCUCCAGGCUGCUGGGAUUAAAGGCGUGGGCCACCAUUGCCCAGCUCAGGCCCAGUCUUAAAAUGGCAAUAUCUCACUGAGUGCUCUGAUUUCCCCAUCGAAUCUUUUCUCGCCAAAAGGCAUUCUCUUUAUUUCCCAUUUUUAUCCUCUGCCCCAAACACUGCUACGGUAAGCUCUCCCGUGCGUGCGCGCAUUCUCCAACCAGAGCUUUUAUCCCCACCAAAUACAGUUCCUGUUGUGGGGUUAUUCUACGAAAGGGAACAUGCAUUUUUUAUGACAGGCGGUGUUGCCAGAUUGCUCGCCAGAAAACCUUGUAACACUCCACACUGUCUCUAGUUACUCAAGAACCAGCUCUUCUCCUGCAAGUCCCUCCUACAGUAGCUGUUAGCCCCCCUGGGGAUUUUUUCCCCCUGAGUGAUGGAGACAACGUGAAAUCUCACCGCCCCUACAAUUUCAAAUUCCGGUAAAAGUGGUUCAUCUUUAAUCCGUGUGCCGACCGCUGAGCCGUGCUCCAUGCCUCGCCUCGAAUCAUCUUUGCCCUAACUCCAACCCUCCUUGCCCAUGAUAAGUCUGUGGCGGCUCUUUACAUGUGUGGGCGUUAACUUUUAGGGUGACAAACUUUUAGGUGUGCCAAACAGUCAUAAGCUCAAAUUGCUAGUCUUUGUAUUGACCUUAUAAAUGAUACCUGUUGUCAUAAAAGUAACG